UACGUAGGGGUGCAAGCGUUAAUCGGAAUUACUGGGCGUAAAGCGUGCGCAGGCGGCUUGCAAGACAGAUGUGAAAUCCCCGGGCUUAACCUGGGAACUGCAUUUGUGACUGCAUGGCUGGAGUGCGGCAGAGGGGGAUGGAAUUCCGCGUGUAGCAGUGAAAUGCGUAGAUAUGCGGAGGAACACCGAUGGCGAAGGCAAUCCCCUGGGCCUGCACUGGACGCUCAUGCACGAAAGCGUGGGGAGCAAACAGG
rnacentral:rRNA from 1 species